rnacentral:snRNA from 2 species
GUGCUUACUACAGCAGCACAUAUAUACUAAAAUUGGAAUGAUACAAAGAAGAUUAGCAUGGCCCCUGUGCAAAGAUGACACAAAUUCAUGAAGCGUUCCCUAUUUCA